CUUAACACAUUGCAAGUCGAACGCGAAAACCCCUUCGGGGGGAGUAGAGUGGCGGACGGGUGAGUAAUGUGUGGUGUAAUCUGCCCUGCAGCGGGGGAUAACCCGGGGAAACUCGGGCUAAUACCGCAUACGACCUACGGGUGAAAGGGGGCUUCGGCUCUCACUGCAGGAUGAGCCCACAUCCGAUUAGCUUGUUGGUGAGGUAACGGCUCACCAAGGCGACGAUCGGUAGCUGGUCUGAGAGGAUGAUCAGCCACACUGGGACUGAGACACGGCCCAGACUCCUACGGGAGGCAGCAGUGGGGAAUAUUGGACAAUGGGCGAAAGCCUGAUC
rnacentral:rRNA from 1 species